rnacentral:rRNA from 1 species
GCGCGAAAACUUUACAAUGCUGGCAACAGCGAUAAGGGAACCUCGAGUGCCAGGUUACAAAUCUGGCUGUCGAGAUGCCUAAAAAGCAUUUCAUAGCAAGGGCCGGGCAAGACCGGUGCCAGCCGCCGCGGUAACACCGGCGGCUCGAGUGGUAACCGUUAUUAUUGGGUCUAAAGGGUCUGUAGCCGGCCGGAUAAGUCUCUUGAGAAAUCUGGCAGCUUAACUGUCAGGCUUUCAGGAGAUACUGUCUGGCUCGAGGCCGGGAGAGGUGAGAGGUACUUCCGGGGUAGGGGU